GACGAACGCUGGCGGCGUGCCUAAUACAUGCAAGUCGAGCGAGCUUGCCUAGAUGAUUUUAGUGCUUGCACUAAAUGAAACUAGAUACAAGCGAGCGGCGGACGGGUGAGUAACACGUGGGUAACCUGCCCAAGAGACUGGGAUAACACCUGGAAACAGAUGCUAAUACCGGAUAACAACACUAGACGCAUGUCUAGAGUGAGGAAAGGAGUAAUCCACUAGUAGAUGGGCUCGCGUCUGAUUAGCUAGUUGGUGGGGUAAUGGCCUACCAAGGCGACGAUCAGUAGCCGGACUGAGAGGUUGAACGGCCACAUUGGGACUGAGAUACGGCCCAG
rnacentral:rRNA from 1 species